UGGGGAAUAUUGGGCAAUGGGCGCAAGCCUGACCCAGCAACGCCGCGUGAAGGAAGAAGGCUUUCGGGUUGUAAACUUCUUUUAAGAGGGAAGAGCAGAAGACGGUACCUCUUGAAUAAGCCACGGCUAACUACGUGCCAGCAGCCGCGGUAAUACGUAGGUGGCAAGCGUUGUCCGGAUUUAUUGGGUGUAAAGGGCGUGCAGCCGGGAAGACAAGUCAGAUGUGAAAUCCCGCGGCUCAACCGCGGAACUGCAUUUGAAACUGUUUUUCUUGAGUACCGGAGAGGUCAUUCGGAAUUCCUUGUGUAGCGGUGAAAUGCGUAGAUAUAAGGAAGAACACCAGUGGCGAAGGCGGAUGACUGGACGGCAACUGACGGUGAGGCGCGAAAGCGUGGGGAGCAAACAGGAUUAGAUACC
rnacentral:rRNA from 1 species